rnacentral:rRNA from 1 species
GACGAACGCUGGCGGCGUGCUUAACACAUGCAAGUCGAACGGUGAACGAGGGAGCUUGCUCCCUCCGGAUCAGUGGCGAACGGGUGAGUAACACGUGAGCAAUCUGCCCCGAACUCUGGGAUAAGCGUUGGAAACGACGUCUAAUACCGGAUACGACGCGGGAGGGCAUCCUCUCCGCGUGGAAAGAACUUCGGUUCGGGAUGAGCUCGCGGCCUAUCAGCUUGUUGGUGAGGUAACGGCUCACCAAGGCGACGACGGGUAGCCGGCCUGAGAGGGUGACCGGCCACACUGGGACUGAGACACGGCCCAGACUCCUACGGGAGGCAGCAGUGGGGAAUAUUGCACAAUGGGCGCAAGCCUGAUGCAGCAACGCCGCGUGAGGGACGACGGCCUUCGGGUUGUAAACCUCUUUUAGCAGGGAAGAAGCAAAAGUGACGGUACCUGCAGAAAAAGCACCGGCUAACUACGUG